rnacentral:rRNA from 1 species
AUUGAACGCUGGCGGCAUGCCUUACACAUGCAAGUCGAACGGCAGCGCGGGUGCUUGCACCUGGUGGCGAGUGGCGAACGGGUGAGUAAUACAUCGGAACGUACCUUAUCGUGGGGGAUAACGCAGCGAAAGCUGUGCUAAUACCGCAUACGCCCUGAGGGGGAAAGCGGGGGAUCGCAAGACCUCGCGCGAUUAGAGCGGCCGAUGCCUGAUUAGCUAGUUGGUGGGGUAAAAGCGCACCAAGGCGACGAUCAGUAGCUGGUCUGAGAGGACGAUCAGCCACACUGGGACUGAGACACGGCCCAGACUCCAACGGGAGGCAGCAGUGGGGAAUUUUGGACAAUGGGGGCAACCCUGAUCCAGCAAUGCCGCGUGAGUGAAGAAGGCCUUCGGGUUGUAAAGCUCUUUUGUCAGGGAAGAAACACCGGCUCUAACACAGUCCGGGAAUGACGGUACCUGAAGAAUAAGCACCGGCUAACUACGUGCCAGCAGCCGCCGUAA